rnacentral:rRNA from 1 species
UACGGGGGGAGCAAGCGUUGUUCGGAUUUACUGGGCGUAAAGGGCGCGUAGGCGGCGUAACAAGUCACUUGUGAAAUCUCCGGGCUUAACUCGGAGCGGUCAAGUGAUACUGUUGUGCUAGAGUGCGGAAGGGGCUACUGGAAUUCUCGGUGUAGCGGUGAAAUGCGUAGAUAUCGAGAGGAACACCUGCGGCGAAGGCGGGUAGCUGGGCCGACACUGACGCUGAAGCGCGAAAGCUAGGGGAGCGAACGGG